UACGAAGGGUGCAAGCGUUGUUCGGAAUGACUGGGCGUAAAGGGCGCGUAGGCGGUUUUAUGCGUUUGAGGUGAAAGUCCUGGGCUCAACCUGGGGAUUGCCUUGAAUACGGUAGGACUAGAGUACGAGAGGGGAAAACGGAAUUGCGGGUGGAGAAGUGAAAUUCGUAGAGAUCCGCAGGAACACCGGUGGCGAAGGCGGUUUUCUGGCUCGUAACUGACGCUGAGGCGCGAAAGCGUGGGGAGCAAACAGG
rnacentral:rRNA from 1 species